GGUUGUGACUCAGAGGUAGAGCGCUUGCCUAGCAUGCUGGGGCACUGGGUUCAAUCCUCAGUACCA
rnacentral:tRNA from 1 species